rnacentral:rRNA from 1 species
UACGAGGGGGGCAAGCGUUGUUCGGAAUUACUGGGCGUAAAGGGCGCGUAGGCGGCCUUCUAAGUCGAACGUGAAAUCCCCGGGCUCAACCCGGGAACUGCGUCCGAUACUGGAAGGCUUGAAUCCGGGAGAGGGAUGUGGAAUUCCAGGUGUAGCGGUGAAAUGCGUAGAUAUCUGGAGGAACACCGGUGGCGAAGGCGACAUCCUGGACCGGUACUGACGCUGACGACGCGAAAGCGGUGGGGAGCGAACAGG